UUGCUCUGUUUAAGGCUAGUGGGCAAUACGAAGAUUGAAAGAGGCAGAUUUGGCUCAGAGAACUAAAGAUCUUUCUAUUAAGUAGUGUUGAAAUAUACUCCAUGUCCUUACCCUGUCUCUCUCCCCUGUCCCCACUGGUGCCAUAGGGCUAGAGGGACAGGAUCCAGAACUAGACUUUUCUUUCAAUUCCCCAGCUCCUCUCUGUCCAGCUGUGUGACCUCGUGCAAGUUAUUUAACCCCUGUCUGUUUCCACCGAUUCCUGCAUAACGUGAGAGCCAUUACAAUGAUUCAGGAAGUUAGUAUAUACAACAUCCUAAAAACAGUGCUGAUUUGUAGUCAGUACUCAAGGUACUUAGUCCAGUGUCUGUCACGUGGUAUGUAUGAAAUAAGUGUCAUUAUCAUAAUAAUGAUCAUCAUUACAUUGUUCCUGCUAUUACCACUGAGAUGCUGGAUAGGCAUGUAUGAGGAUUUUGUUAAAGGAAUUCCUACUUUUCAUGGUAGGCUGAGCUAAUAGAUGCUUAGAUGCUUUCCAGUUCCAACAAUCAGUGUUCUCUUUAUUUAGUGCCUGAGGCCUCAACCCUGGGACUCAAGCGCUGUUGAAAUCCGAGAUGAAACAGCACAAUAUUUUAAUCAUUAAUGUUAGCUAGGCUACACCAUGAGGGGAAAGAGAGUUUUGUUUCUACUUGAUCUUUCCUGAUCUUGGGUCUCGGGCUUACUCACCAUGAAGACUUGUGUGGAGGUGGACUGGUAGUGGUGUUGCUUUCAUGUUUUUCUUCGUAGGAGACACUGAGAGGAGAGAUCUUUGCUUUGUGAUGGGGAAUGAGUGACAUCAAAAACAUUAAGCAAGGGCAUGAUUCUUCCCGUGAGCUGUACUCACCUAUUAGGCAACGCUGAAGAACUGGACCGCUGGGGGGGGGGUGAUGGGAGAUCGGGUCUGGGUCUCAUGGACGUUGUGGGACUGUGCCCUGAGCCGCCAUGAUUGCCGCUGCCUGUCAGGAGACCAACAAAGGUAGAGUUAGCUACAGCGGACGUCCACUGGCACUUGCCCGUCUCCCCGUUGUAACUCUCGUCCGACAUCGUUGUCUUUGUUUACUUGGUCUCUGACGUGUGUGUUUCUAAGCCUGUUUAUCUUUACUGGUAUCUGAUUACCUCGCCUUGUUUUUCUCCAUUUCUGGCUGGACUGACAGGCCCCACGUCUAGGAGUCAUAAACACAAUACAUGGUCACAAAAAGAGCACCAGAAGAGACCCGGGGGACCACUUGGGGCAACAUAUUCCCUUUCUAGAUGAGAAAACCAAGGCUCAGAUAAAAAUAGAACCUCAUGAGAUCCUCAUGGCUUCCAGGCCAGUGCUCUUUUCUAAAAAAAAAAAAAAUUUUUUUUUUAAAUGUUUAUUUAGUUUUGAGACAGAGGGAGACAGAGUGCGAGUGGGGGAGGGGCACAGAGAGAGACACACACAGAAUCUGAGACAGGCUCCAGGCUCUGAGCCAUCAGCACAGAGCCCGAUGCGGGGCUCGAACCCAUGAACCGCGAGAUCAUGACGUGAGCCGAAGUCGGACGCUCAACCGACUGAGCCAUCCAGGCGCCCCUCUAAAAAAAUUUUUUUAACGUUUAUUUAUUAUUGAGAGACAGAGAGCCACAGAGAGUGAGAAGGGGAGGGGCAGACCCAGAAUCUGAGGCAGGCUCCAGGCUCUGAGCUGUCAGCACAGAGCCCGACGUGGGGCUCGAACCCACGACCUGUGAGAUCAUGACCUGAGCUGAAGUCAGUUGCCCAACCAACUGAGCCACCCAGGCACCCCAACCAGUGCUCUUUCCAUUACGCCAUGCUGAUCUUUGUCUAUAAGCAUGAUCUGGUACGGAGAUGGGUUUGGAGGCAUGAGCCCCACAUUCACGCCUGAAAUGCAAAAUUUUUCGCACUAUUUCCACAUAAGAAUAUGCUAUAACUGGAAUGAUAGCCUCUAUUAUAUUGAACAUUCACAGAUGACAUUAAUAAAUAUUAAAUAUUAAAGCCUAACCCAUUUUUAAAACCUUGUUUGGGGAUGUCUUUAUUCUUACACAUAUUGGAAUCCCAGAAUGUGACGUUGGUCUCAACCUUUCUGUAACUCCAAAAGCCUGGGGGGAAAGAAAGGAGGCGACGACCCCAGCCAUCCCCAAGAAGUUAAGGUGGAGGUGAAAUGCAGAGCUUUCUGAAAAAGUCCUUUAUGAGGAGAAUAAAGAAUUCUGCUGCCAAACAAGUUGAAGAGAUAGAAUUUGUUUAUCACGGUGGAGGCUUCAAGAUCACACGUCUCCAUUAGAGUCACGUGCGUCUUAAAUACCCACCAUUAUCAAGAGAAAAAUUAAGCCAAGUGUCUGAUAAGAAGAUGUGCUACACAGUCCAACAAUCUUCCGUGUUGUCAAGAUGUCAGACGCAGGCAGCAAAAACAACUGAAUGAAAUAACUGAAUUUCCACCAUGGACGAAAGAGGGCUUCGAAGUUGGAGCAAAAGUAUUUGUGGAGUGUGGGGAGAACCCAGAGCUUCUGGUAUUUACGGU